ACCAUCACUACUUUAUGAAUGGGUUAUAAAUGGAGCAUGGGUUUUGUGUCUCAUAUACCCUGGAGGGAGGAAAAUAGGGAAAAAAUGGUUGAUUUGGAUAUUUGGUGUGAGCGGUCUUGGAAACGGGGGUUUCAUACGCAUUCACCACCUCAGAAAUGCAUAUUUGCAUUGCAUUUGGAUUACCUGAAGCAUAUGGAUUUAAAUCACCUGCGCUCCUAUACAAGUCUGCAUAUGGCAGAUAAACCAAAUAGAGCGAGCAUUGAAACUGGCUGGUCAACUUGUCUUUGAAGAACUCAUUGAGCAAGUAUGGUUCAUAUCAAGCAGCUGCUGUAGAAAUUGGUGCUGCUGCUGCCAAUGCUGAAGUGCGCACAAGGAUGACUUCUGUUUCAAGCCACUGCACUUUCAGAUCCAGAAUACCUUACAAUGGUUACUCAUUGUAGUGCUGAAAAGAAGCAAUUUAACGUAAGGAGAUCUAAUUGUAGUUGAAAAGGUUUAAGGACAGUGCUUGUGAUGCUGAUGACUUCUCCCCUCAUGG